rnacentral:rRNA from 1 species
CGAUUGUAGUCAUAUGCUUGUCUCAAAGAUUAAGCCAUGCAUGUCUAAGUAUAAGCAAUUAUACCGCGAAACUGCGAAUGGCUCAUUAUAUAAGUUAUCGUUUAUUUGAUAGCACAUUACUACUUGGAUAACCGUGGUAAUUCUAGAGCUAAUACAUGCUAAAAAUCCCGACUUCGGAAGGGAUGUAUUUAUUAGAUUAAAAGCCAACGCCCUUCGGGGCUCUCUGGUGAUUCAUAAUAACUGGUCGAAUCGCAUGGCCUUGCGCCGGCGAUGGUUCAUUCAAAUUUCUUCCCUAUCAACUUUCGAUGCGAGGGUCUUGUCCUCGCAUGGUUGCAACGGGUAACGGAGGGUUAGGGCUCGACCCCGGAGAAGGAGCCUGAGAAACGGCUACUACAUCCAAGGAAGGCAGCAGGCGCGCAAAUUACCCAAUCCCGACACGGGGAGGUAGUGACAAUAAAUACUGAUACAGGGCUCUUCUGGGUCUUGUAAUCGGAAUGAGUACAAUUUAAAUCCCUUAACGAGGAACAAUUGGAGGGCAAGUCUGGA